rnacentral:rRNA from 1 species
GGGUUGUGAGGUUAAGCGACUAAGCGUACACGGUGGAUGCCCUGGCAGUCAGAGGCGAUGAAGGACGUGCUAAUCUGCGAUAAGCGCCGGUAAGGUGAUAUGAACCGUUAUAACCGGCGAUUUCCGAAUGGGGAAACCCAGUGUGACUCGUCACACUAUCAUUAACUGAAUCCAUAGGUUAAUGAGGCGAACCGGGGGAACUGAAACAUCUAAGUACCCCGAGGAAAAGAAAUCAACCGAGAUUCCCCCAGUAGCGGCGAGCGAACGGGGAGGAGCCCAGAGCCUGAAUCAGCAUGUGUGUUAGUGGAAGCGUCUGGAAAGGCGCGCGAUACAGGGUGACAGCCCCGUACACAAAAGCGCACAUGCUGUGAGCUCGAUGAGUAGGGCGGGACACGUGGUAUCCUGUCUGAAUAUGGGGGGACCAUCCUCCAAGGCUAAAUACUCCUGACUGACCGAUAGUGAACCAGUACCGUGAGGGAAAGGCGAAAAGAACCCCGGCGAGGGGAGUGAAAAAGAACCUGAAACCGUGUACGUACAAGCAGUGGGAGCCCCACCACUAAGCCAGUGGUGAAAUCCACAUACGCAUCCUUUGCUGAGGAUACGGUUAACGGAGCGCAAGCGACGUUCAACCUCAAAAGAAGCAGAGGGGGCUUAGUGGUGGGGUGACUGCGUACCUUUUGUAUAAUGGGUCAGCGACUUAUAUUCUGUAGCAAGGUUAACCGAAUAGGGGAGCCGGAGGGAAACCGAGUCUUAACCGGGCGUUAAGUUGCAGGGUAUAGACCCGAAACCCGGUGAUCUAGCCAUGGGCAGGUUGAAGGUUGGGUAACACUAACUGGAGGACCGAACCGACUAAUGUUGAAAAAUUAGCGGAUGACCUGUGGCUGGGGGUGAAAGGCCAAUCAAACCGGGAGAUAGCUGGUUCUCCCCGAAAGCUAUUUAGGUAGCGCCUCGUGAAUUCAUCUCCGGGGGUAGAGCACUGUUUCGGCUAGGGGGUCAUCCCGACUUACCAACCCGAUGCAAACUGCGAAUACCGAAGAAUGUUAUCACGGGAGACACACGGCGGGUGCUAACGUCCGUCGUGAAGAGGGAAACAACCCAGACCGCCAGCUAAGGUCCCAAAGUCAUGGUUAAGUGGGAAACGAUGUGGGAAGGCCCAGACAGCCAGGAUGUUGGCUUAGAAGCAGCCAUCAUUUAAAGAAAGCGUAAUAGCUCACUGGUCGAGUCGGCCUGCGCGGAAGAUGUAACGGGGCUAAACCAUGCACCGAAGCUGCGGCAGCGACACUCAGGUGUUGUUGGGUAGGGGAGCGUUCUGUAAGCCUGUGAAGGUGUGUCGUGAGGCAUGCUGGAGGUAUCAGAAGUGCGAAUGCUGACAUAAGUAACGAUAAAGCGGGUGAAAAGCCCGCUCGCCGGAAGACCAAGGGUUCCUGUCCAACGUUAAUCGGGGCAGGGUGAGUCGACCCCUAAGGCGAGGCCGAAAGGCGUAGUCGAUGGGAAACGGGUUAAUAUUCCCGUACUUGGUGUUACUGCGAAGGGGGGACGGAGAAGGCUAUGUUGGCCGGGCGACGGUUGUCCCGGUUUAAGCGUGUAGGUGUGUGUUCCAGGUAAAUCCGGUUCACUUUAACACUGAGGCGUGAUGACGAGGCACUACGGUGCUGAAGCAACAAAUGCCCUGCUUCCAGGAAAAGCCUCUAAGCAUCAGGUAACAUCAAAUCGUACCCCAAACCGACACAGGUGGUCAGGUAGAGAAUACCAAGGCGCUUGAGAGAACUCGGGUGAAGGAACUAGGCAAAAUGGUGCCGUAACUUCGGGAGAAGGCACGCUGACAUGUAGGUGAAGUGAUUUACUCAUGGAGCUGAAGUCAGUCGAAGAUACCAGCUGGCUGCAACUGUUUAUUAAAAACACAGCACUGUGCAAACACGAAAGUGGACGUAUACGGUGUGACGCCUGCCCGGUGCCGGAAGGUUAAUUGAUGGGGUCAGCGCAAGCGAAGCUCCUGAUCGAAGCCCCGGUAAACGGCGGCCGUAACUAUAACGGUCCUAAGGUAGCGAAAUUCCUUGUCGGGUAAGUUCCGACCUGCACGAAUGGCGUAAUGAUGGCCAGGCUGUCUCCACCCGAGACUCAGUGAAAUUGAACUCGCUGUGAAGAUGCAGUGUACCCGCGGCAAGACGGAAAGACCCCGUGAACCUUUACUAUAGCUUGACACUGAACAUUGAGCCUUGAUGUGUAGGAUAGGUGGGAGGCUUUGAAGUGUGGACGCCAGUCUGCAUGGAGCCGACCUUGAAAUACCACCCUUUAAUGUUUGAUGUUCUAACGUGGACCCGUGAUCCGGGUUGCGGACAGUGUCUGGUGGGUAGUUUGACUGGGGCGGUCUCCUCCUAAAGAGUAACGGAGGAGCACGAAGGUUGGCUAAUCCUGGUCGGACAUCAGGAGGUUAGUGCAAUGGCAUAAGCCAGCUUGACUGCGAGCGUGACGGCGCGAGCAGGUGCGAAAGCAGGUCAUAGUGAUCCGGUGGUUCUGAAUGGAAGGGCCAUCGCUCAACGGAUAAAAGGUACUCCGGGGAUAACAGGCUGAUACCGCCCAAGAGUUCAUAUCGACGGCGGUGUUUGGCACCUCGAUGUCGGCUCAUCACAUCCUGGGGCUGAAGUAGGUCCCAAGGGUAUGGCUGUUCGCCAUUUAAAGUGGUACGCGAGCUGGGUUUAGAACGUCGUGAGACAGUUCGGUCCCUAUCUGCCGUGGGCGCUGGAGAACUGAGGGGGGCUGCUCCUAGUACGAGAGGACCGGAGUGGACGCAUCACUGGUGUUCGGGUUGUCAUGCCAAUGGCACUGCCCGGUAGCUAAAUGCGGAAGAGAUAAGUGCUGAAAGCAUCUAAGCACGAAACUUGCCCCGAGAUGAGUUCUCCCUGAGACUUUAGGUCUCCUGAAGGAACGUUGAAGACGACGACGUUGAUAGGCCGGGUGUGUAAGCGCAGCGAUGCGUUGAGCUAACCGGUACUAAUGAACCGUGAGGCUUAACCUUACAACGCCGAAG